UGCCUGGACGUAACACGGCACCACCCCGCCCGCCAAAUAACUACGAGUGAAAACUUAAAACUUAAAAGACUUGACGGUACUUCACACCCAACCUAGAGGAGCCUGUCUACUAACCGAUAAUCCACGAUUAACCCAACCACUUCUAGCCACCCAGCCUAUAUACCACCGUCGCCAGCCUACCUUGUAAAAGAAACAAAGUGAGCCAAACAGUACUACACUAACACGACAGGUCAAGGUGUAACUAAUGAAGCGGACUAAGAUGGGCUACAUUCUCUACCCCAGAUUACACGAACAAGGCUAUGAAACUAACCUUUAAAGGCGGAUUUAGCAGUAAGCUGAGAACAAAAUACUCAACUGAAACCAAUGCAAUGAAGUGCGUACACACCGCCCGUCACCCUCUGCAGUCACUUUA
rnacentral:rRNA from 1 species